CUAGCGGGGCAGUGAAAUCUUUGCUUUGUGCUAAAGUCAACAGUGACAGAGUUUGAGCUCAAAUAAAUGCCGUGAUGUCUCCAGCCCUUUGCAGAAGGCUGAAGGCGAGGUUCCACAUUGGGCUCCUAGCUUGCUAGUAAGCAUCGACUGUAUUGCACAGGGCUGUGCUGGGGAGGGCUGUGCCUUCAAAGAGAAGAGGGAAAGGGAGGAGAGGAGGCCAUUACGAGAAGAGGUUCAGACAGGAGAAGCAGAUGGAUCUGACUGCCACACACAAUGUCCCUUCAGUCGUGGGCUGUGCUGUGACCGCCCCAUGGCAGCGGCCAGAUGGAGAUGACCUUCCUCGACUUAUGUGUGGAAUGGGACCAAUGGGAUCAAUGCAGUGCUACCUACGACCUUCUCCCUGCAUCACCUCAGAUCCACAGACACAGAACCACAAAGGCACUUCCCUCUCUGAGUGCUUGUCUACCUGGCUACGUCUGCGUCUGACCUGUCUGAAUCUAUGAAAUGUCAAAGCUUGAGUCAGGCAGCGUGAAUAGGGACAAAAGAGAGGGACCAUUAAUGAUUAACUGUUCUAAAAGCCUAUCAGGCGGCCAUGUGAAAUGCACGCAGCAUUUUUUGAGCAGAUUGGGGGAAAGCUAGUGAGCAAACACAGGUGCUUUGGACUGGAGUCGCCGACGCUGUCAGGGACAACCACAAACAAGAGCAGCAAUGCCUGGCUAAAUGAGAGCCCGCCCUCUUUACUUACUCCCUGGCUAGCUUAGCUUAGUCACUGACUGCAGUGGCUGGAGAUCCUCACCACAGACCAAGUCCAAUGUCCCCCCAGUGCUCCACAACUUUUCACACAAACAAAUAAAAUGGGAGGAUUGGAGUCCACUUCUUUGAAGUGAUGGCAUUUGCUGUGGUCUCAAGUAUAGGGGGAGAGCAAACAAAUUAAUUGUGUUCCAGUUCUCACUUUCUAAAACAAACCAAAUGUGGUUUUCCUCAAGUGGGGCAAUUCCAGUGACCCCGGUGUCAAACAGUACAAGGGUUGAACACUCUGGUUCUUGAGAAGCCUACUGGAGGCAAUGAGAGAUAUUCAGAAAAGUGCUAAAGGUGCUCAGAAAUAUGCAGGAUGACAAACUGAUUCUCAGAAAAUGGAGUGGUUCAUUCUUCGAUGGUCUGAAUAUGCCUUCAAUUGAUACAGACUCCCGUGACUGUUUAGAAGAAGAAUUGACACCUGAGGAGAUUGCAAAAGCAGUGUCUGCAAUGAAAAGUGGUAGAUCACCGGGUCCGCACGGUUUUCCAAUCGAAUUUUACAGGACGUUUUCCUGUCUGCUUUGCCCAUUCCUGUCUUGAUUGUUUGCAGAGUGCCUUAAUACAUCAAAGCGACCGCCUAGUCUUUAUCAGGCUUCAAUUUCAUUACUAUUGAAGAAAAACAAAGACCCCCUGGAAUGUGGAUCCUAUCGCCCAAUCUCGCUUUUAAACUGUGAUUACAAAAUCCUAGCCAAGCUCUUAGCCAUCCGUAUGGAAGGCUCGCUGCACCAAGUAAUACACCCUGACCAGACUGGCUUUAUGAGAAAUAGGCAUUCGUUUUUCAAUAUUAGACGCCUUCUGAAUAUACUGUACUCCUCAGCGUUGGAGGACCCGGAGGUAGUGGUCUCGCUCGAUGCGGAAAAAGCUUUUGACCAUGUUGAAUGGGACUACUUAACAGCCGCCCUUUAUAGAUUUGGCUUUGGUCGCAAAUUAAUAAAGAUUCUUUAUUUUUCUCCCAUGGCUUCAGUACGGACUAACAACUUGUCCUCUGACUAUUUUCCAUUGCACCGCGGAUCCAGACAGGGUUGUCCACUCUCCCCAUUGUUGUUUGCUUUGGCAAUCGAGCCCCUCGCCGUCGCACUGCGCUCUAAUGAUGCUGUUCAAGGUAUAAUCAGGACAGGCUUAGAGCAGAAAGUCUCGCUAAAUGCUGACGAUCUCAUUUUGUUUAUCUCCAACCCUGAUACCUCAUUACGACAUGCCUUAUCUAUUCUUUAAAAGUUUGGAUCAAUCUCAGAGUACAAACUGAAUCUAGGCAAGAGUGAGCUUUUUCCUGUAAAUAAGGCUGUUUUAAAGUGCUCUUUUACAAGCUUUCAGUUUAGGAUUGUCCGGGAUCAAUUCACCUACUUGGGAGUUAAAGUGACAAGGAAAUAUUCAAAUUUGUUUAAGGAAAACAUUGCUGCUCUAGCAGACAGUUUGAAACAAUCAUUUACUUUUUGGAAGUCUCUACCUCUGUCUCUUAUUGGAAGGGUUAAUGUCAUUAAAAUGAAUGUGUUGCCCAAAUUGUUAUAUUUAUUUCAAUGUUUACCCAUUUUUAUUCCCAGAUCUUUUUUUAAUUCACUGGAUCAAACAUUAAUGUAUUUUCUUUGGGAUGGCAAGGUACCACGGAUUGGUAGAAAACAUUUACAGAAGCCUAAGGCAUUGGGUGGUCUAGCCCUACCAAAUCUUCAGACAUACUAUUGGGCUGCAAAUUUCAGAGCCCUUUUGUACUGGCUGCAGACUGAUCCUACUGGCCCAAGACCACUCUGGGUCCAGAUGGAGUCUGAAUCAUGUAAACCUGCUACACUUUCCUCUGUGUUGUGCUCGUCUCUCCUAGUGUCCCUAGGCAAAAGGUGUGUCAACCCAAUUGUAAAGCAGUCUCUUAAAAUUUGGAAUCAGUUCCAUUUAGCCUUUAGCCUCCGAGGCUUUUCUUUAUCAGGCCCAAUCAAUCAGAACGUUUUAUUUCCUCCAUCUUUAAAUGAUGGGGAUUUCGGCAUCUGGCACUCACUGGGCCUCUCUUCACUAGCCCAAUUAUUCUUUGAUGAUACAUUUGCCUCUUUUGCUCAGCUACAGGAAAAAUUCAACCUCCCCCAAUCCCACUUCUUCCACUAUCUCCAGGCUAGGAACUUUGUCAGAGCUAAUACAGUGAGGGAAAAAAGUAUUUGAUCCCCUGCUGAUUUUGUAGGUUUGCCCACUGACAA